rnacentral:rRNA from 1 species
UACGUAGGGUGCAAGCGUUGUCCGGAAUUAUUGGGCGUAAAGAGCUCGUAGGCGGUCUGUCGCGUCGGCUGUGAAAACCCGAGGCUCAACCUCGGGUCUGCAGUCGAUACGAGCAAACUAGAGUGUUGCAGGGGAGACUGGAAUUCCUGGUGUAGCGGUGAAAUGCGCAGAUAUCAGGAGGAACACCGGUGGCGAAGGCGGGUCUCUGGGCAACAACUGACGCUGAGGAGCGAAAGCGUGGGGGAGCGAACAGG